CCUACGGGUGGCUGCAGUGGGGAAUAUUGCACAAUGGGCGAAACCCUGAUGCAGCAACGCCGCGUGAGUGAAGAAGUAUCUCUGUAUGUAAAGCUCUUUCAGUAGGGAAGAAGACGACGGUACCUGAGUAAGAAUCACAGGCUAACUACGUGCCAGCAGCCGCUGUAAUACGGCGGAGGCAAGCGUUAUCCGGAUUUACUGGGUGUAAAGGGAGCGUAGUCGGUCGGACAAGUCUGAAGUGAAAGCCCGGGGCUCAACGCCGGGACUGCUUUGGAAACUGCCUGACUGGAGUGCUGGAGAGGCAAGCGGAAUGCCUGGGGUAGCGGUGAAAUGCGUAGAGAUUAUGAAGAACACCAGUGGCGAAGGCAGCUUGC
rnacentral:rRNA from 1 species